rnacentral:lncRNA from 1 species
GGACAGGCGACGCGGACGAAGCGGGAGGAGCCACUGGCAGCCUUUGCGUACUGUCAUAGCAACGGGAAGGGCACCUCGACCAAUCACCGCCCGGGAAUACGGAGGGGCGGGGCGGAAGGGACGAGGUGGAGCCAGUGGCAGCACUCUGGUGCCGUCAUAGCAACGAGGGGCCGCUUCGGCCAAUCACUGCUCGGGAAGCGAGGGGGCGGGGACUGGGCAGGGCCUGAGCGGGUUCUGUGCCUGGCUGCCCACCGGCUCUCUGACCUGGACCUCGCCGUCGCUGGCCCCUGAAAUCCAUCACUUUUGUCGGCUGUUCUGUGACGCCACAACGAGGAGCCACCUGGGUACUGGGCCCUCAAGAGGAAGGACGCGGGAAACGCGUCCGGGCCAACUCUCGAGAGGGUUUCACCCCUGCCCAGUGCGGGCACUGCCCGCUCCCUUCCGCCCCCAGGCCUCGCAGGCCCCUCCGGGGAUGCUGCCCACCCCCACUUACCUUUCUAGGCUCUGCUGACCCUUCGGGAUUCGCGGCUAGCUGUGAUGUGUCCGCCAAGAUCUCUUCUCUUGUCUGUAAACAACUUCACUCUCAAGGAGGAGUGACUGAAUAACUAUAGGAUUUGGUCUUGAUGGGAGAAUCCCAGAAGCCAAAUCCACGCGGUGAAUAAGCUGCUGAUCUUCCAGAGCACACAUCCCCUAGAGAUUCUUCCCAAUGCUAAUAUGAAAGGUUACAACCAUAACCCAUCAUCAGGCCCAAAUAUAUUACUUACUGAAUAAAUACACAAGUUACAACAACACACGAGA